rnacentral:rRNA from 1 species
ACCUCAAAUCAGGUAGGAGUACCCGCCGAACUUAAGCAUAUCAAUAAGCGGAGGAAAAGAAAAUAACAAUGAUUCCCCCCAGUAACUGCGAGUGAAGAGGGACAAGCUCAAAUUUUAAAUCUGUCAGGUUCUCCUGACCGAGUUGUAAUUUGAAGAAGCGUUUUCUGCGCCGUUUGAUCAGCCCAAGUCUUAUUGAAUGAGGCAUCAUGGAGGGUGAUAAUCCCGUUCGGUUGAUCAAUUGUGCUUUACGAUACGCUUUCAAAGAGUCAAGUUGUUUGGGAUUGCAGCUUAAAAUGGGAGGUAAAUUUCUCCUAAGGCUAAAUAUUGGCGAGAGACCGAUAGCGAACAAGUACCGUGAGGGAAAGAUGAAAAGAACUUUGAAAAGAGAGUUAAACAGUACGUGAAAUUGUUGAAAGGGAAACGAUUGAAGCCAGUCGUACCGGCGGGUAAUCAGCCUUUCGGGUAUGAUUCUGUGGAGCGUGAGGAGUUAAACGCCUUCAUGCCUGCAUAUUCGUGCUCUUGGGUGUACUUGCUCGUGUGGUUGGUUAACAUCAAUUACGGAUGCCAUAAAAUGGCUGGAGGAAUGUAGCUUCGAUCUCGUAUUGAAGUGUUAUAGCCUUCGGUAGAUGUGGUGAUCGGGAUUGAGGAUUGCAACGGAUACCCUUCGGGGUUACCUGUCUGAUCUCUGAUCGUUGCUCUGGUGCCGAAAGCGUGCUUACGGUUAUCAAAGUCGAUGGUUAAUAGGUUAGAACGGGUUAAAUUCGUUAAGGAUGUUGACGUAAUGGCUUUAAACGACCCGUCUUGAAACACGGACCAAGGAGUCUAACAUAUGUGCGAGUGUUUAGUAUUGGGGAUCCA